rnacentral:tRNA from 1 species
AAACCAACAAGAACUGCUAACUCUCGCAUCUGAGUCU